UCAAAACUAGAUAACCCUUUUGUUAAAGUCCAUGUUUUGUUAAACUCUUUUGUUAAACUCCAUGUACAGAUGUGGACUGCAUACCUUAGUAACUAAACUGUAGGCAUGAUAGGUUGCCAGGUAUUUUAACAGGCUGGGUUGUCAUAAUAAGUAGACUAUGGUUUAACAGGUGUAUAGGAUUACAGACUCUUUGUGUUUCAUAUUUCUGUUUGGUGUGCUGGCAAGAAAAGCCAAGCCAGCUCACUCUCACUUUUGAUUUCGGAGAAGAAGGUCCAAUUUGGGGUGUUUCCUAACCAAGGAAAAGGGCGUGUGCCACCCUACCCAGUGCAGGGAGGUUCCUUUCUACUCGAUGCCGAAUUACGGCUGUCAACCUAGGGUCAGCCCAGAGUCAAUGUGGAGUCAAUGUAGGACAGGGUAGCACCUACCCUCUAUGUCCAGGUCAUGAGUCACAAUGUCAUUCGAGGGGAAUGACUCACUUCAGUCAGCCGAAGCUACUGUUCGUCGGACUCGACCGUAAUUCUUCCAAGUUAGAGCUUCAACUCAACUCUUGUUCUUCAUUCUUCAAGGACACGUGUCUUCGCUGAUGACGUCAGUCGUGUUCUUCGUCGUCGUCGUCGAUCAUCGGCAUACUUGUUCCUCGUCAUAAUCGUCCAAUCUUCGUAGUCGUCGUGGUUUGUCGAUCUCUUCUGUUUUCGAACUCCGCAUUUACCCGAUUGAAGGUUUGAUCAAGCAAU
rnacentral:lncRNA from 1 species